rnacentral:rRNA from 1 species
GGGAAGGAGUAGAUUUAGAUCCCUUUACAAGAUCAUUUGGAGGGCAAGUCUGGUGCCAGCAGCCGCGGUAAUUCCAGCUCCAAUAGCGUAUAUUAAGUUGUUGCGGUUAAAAAGCUCGUAGUUGGAUUUCUGCUGACGACGACCGGUCCGCCCUCUGGGUGAGAAUCUGGCUCGGCCUGGGCAUCUUCUUGGAGAACGUAGCUGCACUUGACUGUGUGGUGCGGUAUCCAAGACUUUUACUUUCAAAAAAAAAAGAAUAUUUCAAAAAACGGACACACCCCGUGACAUCACAUUACCCAUGGAAAAAAAAGAUAGGACCCUGGCUCUUAUACCUGUUGGCGUCUAGACCCGAGGAGAAUGAUUUUAAAAACAAAAACACCGCCCCCAUUCGAAUUUAAUCUCUCAGAGGUGAAAAUUCUUGGAUUUGUUAAAAACGAGAAAAAUUGCGAAAAAACUUUGCUCCACAGAGAGUGUUUUCAUUGAUCAAAAAAAAAAGUGAGGGGAGCGAGAGGACGAUCAGAGACUCCUCCUAGUCUUAAUCCCAAAAAAAAACCCAACUGAGAGAUCGGAGGGCGUUAUUUGUAUGACUCCCCCACCCGCACCUUAAGAGAAAUCAAAAUCUUUGGGUUCUCGGGGGAGAGUAUGGUCGCAAGGCCAAAACUUAAAGAAAUAGAAGGAAGGGCCCCCCCAGGAGGGGAGCCUGCCGCUAAUUUUGACAUAACACGGGAAAAGAAAUUUCCCCAGCCCCAGACAUAUGAAGGGAUUCACAGAGAGAGAUCUUUUUUUAGUUUAUGGGGGGGGGGGCGCAGCCCCUUUUUUAGGGGGGGGAGAUUGGUUUGGUUAAAUCCGUUAAAGAAAGGGAUCUUACCUCCUUAAAUAGGUAAAGGGUACCUCGUUUACGCGGGCAGCUUUUUUGAGGGGGGUUUGGGUGUUAAACCAAGGAAGUUUGGGGCAAUAACAGGUUUGUGAUGCCCUUAGAUGUUUUGGGGGGCCCGCGGGGUCCCCUGAAGAGUUAAAGGGGGUUUUCCCCUUCCCCGAGGGGGGGGGGAUAUUUGUGUUAAAUCACAUGGUGAGGGGGAUUGAGUAUUGCAAUUAAUAAUCUUCGACGAGGAAUUCCCCGAAAGGAGGAAUCAGCAGGUCGGGAUGACGGCCUCCCCCCCCCUCCCCCCCCCCCCCGUUGCUCCUGACGAUUGAGUGAUGUGAGGUAACUCGAGGGCCCAGCAAGGGUUGAUCACUGCCUGUGCCCGGAAAGUUUCCGAACUGAUCAGUAGCGAAG